GGCGGGCGCCCCUCCCCCAGCCUCGCUGCCGCCUUGCAGUUUGAUCUCAGACUGCUGUGCUAGCAAUCAGCGAGAUUCCGUGGGCAUAGGACCCUCCGAGCCAGGUGUGGGAUAUAAUCUCGUGGUUCGCCGUUUUUUAAGCCGGUCUGAAAAGCGCAAUAUUCGGGUGGGAGUGACCCGAUUUUCCAGGAAAUAUAACUUUUGAAACAAUGAUGGAAAUUCUUCGAGAUAAACCAAGUGGCAUUAAUAUGGAGGGAGAAUUCCUGACCACUGCAAGCAUGGUUUCUAUUUUACCUCAAGACUCCAGCCUUCCUUGCAUUCACUUCUUUACAGGGACUCCUGAUCCUGAGAGAUCUGUUUUUAAGCCUUUCAUAUUUGUGCCACAUAUUUCACAACUAUUGGAUACCAGUUCACCAACAUUUGAACUUGAAGAUCUAGUUAAAAAGAAAUCACAUUUUAAGCCUGACAGAAGACACCCACUCUACCAAAAACAUCAACAGGCAUUGGAAGUAGUAAAUAAUAAUGAGGAAAAAGCCAAAAUAAUGUUGGACAACAUGAGGAAACUGGAGAAAGAACUAUUCAGAGAGAUGGAAUCAAUCCUUCAAAACAAGCAUCUUGAUGUGGAGAAAAUUGUUAAUCUCUUUCCUCAGUGCACAAAAGAUGAAAUUCAAAUUUAUCAGUCAAAUUUAUCAGUCAAAGUUAGUUCUUAGUGAUCAUAUGGUCAGCUAAUAUUAGUUCUUAGUGAUCAGUGGUCAGUAAUCUUCAAAGUCAGAAUCUAUCACCUUGGUAAAUUAUAUAAACCUAACUUGAGCAGAUCUGAUUAUUCUUGGAUAGUAUUCAAGUGGUAUCUUGACUAUUAAACUACGUAUAGUGUUGCUGAAAUAGAAAGAAAACAGCAUUGGAAUUGGAUUCGUGUAUCGUGGGAUACAGGUGUUAUUUCAGGUGAUGUACUUGCAUUAUUUUCUUUAGCCAUAGUAACUUUUCGUCACAAUAACUAAGUAUUCAAUUAUAUAUAAAGAAUGAAACAUGAAAAUGAUGCAUGGAUUAUAUUUAUUAUAAUUAUGUAGUACCCUCAAAUCAUUUUGUCAGUUACAUCAAGAAAGCAGAUUUUUCUUUAGUCAUGAAAAAUAUCUCAAGUGGUAAGUUGUUUGUGCUUUAGGCAAAUAUUAACCAGCUCUAACAAGAAAAAUGUCUAGAUUUACACAUUGUCAAUACAGUAUAUUAGUUCUGCAAAUGCACUUUUGUUAAACUCAAACAUGCUCUUUGUCAAGACUUGGCUAACCAGUGAGCUUGUAGCUCUGAUUAUCUAGCAUUUUUAGGGUCAUUCUCCUUAAUAGGCUUUUAUGUUAAUAAGAUAUAUUUUUAGAAGAGCUUGUUUGGGAGAUUAGAGAAUAAGAUAAAAGAACCAAAACCUUAGGAUAUACUAUUUCUGGGUCUGAAAUCUCUCUCAUUGUUUACUUCUGUUCACUCAGUGAAAACAGAAACAAGAAUGAGGUAGUGGCAAUGAAAUAGAAUUAUUAGUAUAUUAUGAACAUUAUAACAUUUUGAACACUAUAAUGCAUUAUAUAUUAUGAACUUUUAUGAACUUUAUACAUGAGUAAUAGCUUCCUAAAGUUUAUAAAACAUUGUUUAGGUUACAUAAAGAUUACCAAGUAAGACUCAAAAUUGCAAAU
rnacentral:sRNA from 1 species